UUUUCCCUUACUGCAUCCUGGCUCUGCGGAGUGGGAUCUAGCCGAGGGAUCCCCCCGGCCAAGUCACUCCUGUGCUACUGGCUGUAACACAUGCUAUAUGUGUCGCCUUUGUAUGGUCCUAGUUGGGCCACAUGCACUUAGCCUGCAGUUUAUUCCAGGAUUUGUUUUCUGUGUGUGUAGUGAAUGCUGGAAUAAUAAAUAAAUAAAUAAAUAAAUAAAUAAAUAAAAAGCAUUUCAAAGGAUACCGCUAGAGUUGAUGUUUCAGGCCCGCACUGGGUUUUAAAUAAUCCUUAAUCCAAGGGAAUGAUUGUUCCAGGUUAAAUGUUCCUACCCUUUUCUUUGUUUCAUUACUUGGUUUCUUCUGUUUUGUUCUUGUGACAAUUCCUUUUAAAAGGAAGAAAUCUACUUUGUUAAUUUCAUCCAUGUCAACUGAAACAUUUUCACUGUUUUGCGUAUGGCUGGAGUUAAGUUUUCCUUUUUCCCUAUAGGUUACACAUACAAAGUGAACAGAAUGGGCCCAAUCCUGCCAGUCCCUUCUUGAGUACCUCUUUAAUGAUGAAAUGGGCAUGCUAAUUGUGAACUAUGUGGGAAAAGAAACGUCUCCAGAUUUCCAGAGCACCAUGGCUUCCUUAUUUAUCUCUGCAUAAGGCUCCGCUUCACAGAAGCCGAUACACUGGUGGGGCAACCCUCCUCCACCCCCACCAGUGCCAUUUCCAAAGGAACCACUCCAAGCUGCUGAACUCCCCAGCCCCCAGAGCUGCCCUCUUCUCGCAAACUGAGCAUCAGACCCUCUGCGGGGAGGGCUCGUCUAUGAGAAGAACAUUAGAGCCAGUAAUCAAAGACAGGUCCCGACCGUGGCAUGGCAGUGCCCAAACCACAAUGUUGGGGCUUCGUUUUCUGCUGGAUAUAGUGCACUUCCAUUGGGAAUAUUUGUUAAAAAAUAACUUUUGA
rnacentral:lncRNA from 1 species